CCAGACUCCUACGGGAGGCAGCAGUGAGGAAUAUUGGUCAAUGGGCGGGAGCCUGAACCAGCCAAGUCGCGUGAGGGAAGACGGCCCUAUGGAUUGUAAACCUCUUUUGUCGGGGAGCAAAGAGGCCUCGUGAGGUCAAAAGCGAGAGUACCCGAAGAAAAAGCAUCGGCUAACUCCGUGCCAGCAGCCGCGGUAAUACGGAGGAUGCGAGCGUUAUCCGGUUUUAUUGGGUUUAAAGGGUGCGUAGGCGGUCCUUUAGAUCAGGGGUAAAAUUGGGGGGCUCACCCCCGGCGAGCCGUUGAAACUGGCAGACUUGAGUUGGCGAGAAGUACGCGGAAUGCGCGGUGUAGCGGUGAAAUGCAUAGAUAUCGCGCAGAACUCCGAUUGCGAAGGCAGCGUACCGGCGCCAGACUGACGCUGAGGCACGAAAGCGUGGGGAUCGAACAGGAUUAGAUACCCCAGUAAA
rnacentral:rRNA from 1 species